AGAGUUUGAUCCUGGCUCAGAGCGAACGCUGGCGGCAGGCUUAACACAUGCAAGUCGAGCGGGCAUAGCAAUAUGUCAGCGGCAGACGGGUGAGUAACGCGUGGGAACAUACCUUUUGGUUCGGAACAACACAGGGAAACUUGUGCUAAUACCGGAUAAGCCCUUACGGGGAAAGAUUUAUCGCCGAAAGAUUGGCCCGCGUCUGAUUAGCUAGUUGGUGAGGUAACGGCUCACCAAGGCGACGAUCAGUAGCUGGUCUGAGAGGAUGAUCAGCCACAUUGGGACUGAGACACGGCCCAAACUCCUACGGGAGGCAGCAGUGGGGAAUAUUGGACAAUGGGCGCAAGCCUGAUCCAGCCAUGCCGCGUGAGUGAUGAAGGCCCUAGGGUUGUAAAGCUCUUUUGUGCGGGAAGAUAAUGACGGUACCGCAAGAAUAAGCCCCGGCUAACUUCGUGCCAGCAGCCGCGGUAAUACGAAGGGGGCUAGCGUUGCUCGGAAUCACUGGGCGUAAAGGGUGCGUAGGCGGGUCUUUAAGUCAGGGGUGAAAUCCUGGAGCUCAACUCCAGAACUGCCUUUGAUACUGAGGAUCUUGAGUUCGGGAGAGGUGAGUGGAACUGCGAGUGUAGAGGUGAAAUUCGUAGAUAUUCGCAAGAACACCAGUGGCGAAGGCGGCUCACUGGCCCGAUACUGACGCUGAGGCACGAAAGCGUGGGGAGCAAACAGGAUUAGAUACCCUGGUAGUCCACGCCGUAAACGAUGAAUGCCAGCCGUUAGUGGGUUUACUCACUAGUGGCGCAGCUAACGCUUUAAGCAUUCCGCCUGGGGAGUACGGUCGCAAGAUUAAAACUCAAAGGAAUUGACGGGGGCCCGCACAAGCGGUGGAGCAUGUGGUUUAAUUCGACGCAACGCGCAGAACCUUACCAGCCCUUGACAUCCCGGUCGCGGAUUCCAGAGACGGAGUCCUUCAGUUCGGCUGGACCGGAGACAGGUGCUGCAUGGCUGUCGUCAGCUCGUGUCGUGAGAUGCUGGGUUAAGUCCCGCAACGAGCGCAACCCCCGUCCUUAGUUGCUACCAUUUAGUUGAGCACUCUAAGGAGACUGCCGGUGAUAAGCCGCGAGGAAGGUGGGGAUGACGUCAAGUCCUCAUGGCCCUUACGGGCUGGGCUACACACGUGCUACAAUGGCGGUGACAAUGGGACGCUAAGGGGCAACCCUUCGCAAAUCUCAAAAAGCCGUCUCAGUUCGGAUUGGGCUCUGCAACUCGAGCCCAUGAAGUUGGAAUCGCUAGUAAUCGUGGAUCAGCAUGCCACGGUGAAUACGUUCCCGGGCCUUGUACACACCGCCCGUCACACCAUGGGAGUUGGUUUUACCUGAAGACGGUGCGCUAACCCGCAAGGGAGGCAGCCGGCCACGGUAGGGUCAGCGACUGGGGUGAAGUCGUAACAAGGUA
rnacentral:rRNA from 1 species